rnacentral:rRNA from 1 species
UACGGGGGGAGCAAGCGUUGUUCGGAUUCAUUGGGCGUAAAGGGUGCGUAGGCGGUGGGGUAAGUUGGAUGUGAAAUCUUGGGGCUUAACCUCAAAAUUGCAUUCAAUACUGCUCCGCUCGAGUUCUGUAGAGGAGAUUGGAAUUUACGGUGUAGCAGUGAAAUGCGUAGAUAUCGUAAGGAACGCCAGUGGCGAAAGCGAAUCUCUGGGCAGCAACUGACGCUGAGGCACGAAGGCCAGGGGAGCAAACGGG